GCCGUGUUCGUCUAAGGGUUAGGACACCACCCUUUCACGGUGGUGAUACGGGUUCGAAUCCCGUACAUGGUA
rnacentral:tRNA from 1 species